GCUACCAUGGCCGAGUCGGUCGAAGGCGUUGGUUUCAAGUUCCAAUCCCGCAAGGGGCAUGGGUUCGAAUCCCAUUGGUAGCA